GUACCUGUAGUGCAAUGGAUAGUACGUUGGACCUCUAAUCCAAAUGUCGCGGGUUCGAAAUCCACCAGGGAUA